rnacentral:rRNA from 1 species
UACGUAGGGCGCAAGCGUUAUCCGGAAUUAUUGGGCGUAAAGAGCUCGUAGGCGGUUUGUCGCGUCUGCCGUGAAAGUCCGGGGCUCAACUCCGGAUCUGCGGUGGGUACGGGCAGACUAGAGUGAUGUAGGGGAGACUGGAAUUCCUGGUGUAGCGGUGAAAUGCGCAGAUAUCAGGAGGAACACCGAUGGCGAAGGCAGGUCUCUGGGCCGUAACUGACGCUGAGGAGCGAAAGCGUGGGGAGCGAACAGG